UACGUAGGUGGCAAGCGUUAUCCGGAAUUACUGGGCGUAAAGCGUGCGCAGGCGGUUCGUUGUGUCGGCGGUGAAAGCCCCGGGCUCAACCUGGGAAUGGCCGUUGAAACUGGCGAACUGGAGUGUGGCAGAGGGGGGUGGAAUUCCGCGUGUAGCAGUGAAAUGCGUAGAGAUGCGGAGGAACACCGAUUGCGAAGGCAGCUAACUAGGCUGUAACUGACGCUGAGGCACGAAAGUGUGGGGAUCAAACAGG
rnacentral:rRNA from 1 species